rnacentral:ncRNA from 1 species
ACGCGGGGAGGUAGUGACGAAAAAUAACAAUGCAGGACUCGUUCGAGGCCCUGUAAUUGGAAUGAGUACACUUUACAAGCUUUAACGAGUAUCCAUUGGAGGGCAAGUCUGGUGCCAGCAGCCGCGGUAAUUCCAGCUCCAAAAGUAUAUAUUUAAGUUGUUGCGGUUAAAAAGCUCGUAGUUGGAUUUUGGGCGCAGGCGGCCGGUCCGUCGCAAGGCGUGUACUGGACGUCCUGGCCUUCCCUCCGGUUCUCCGCCGGUGCUCUUGACUGAGUGUCGGCGGCGGCCGGAACGUUUACUUUGAAAAAAUUAGAGUGUUCAAAGCAGGCUCUCGAGCCUGGAUAAUGGUGCAUGGAAUAAUGGAAUAGGACCUCGGUUCUAUUUUGUUGGUUUUCGGAGCGCGAGGUAAUGAUUAAGAGGGACAGACGGGGGCAUUCGUACUGUGCCGUUAGAGGUGAAAUUCUUGGAUCGGCGCAAGACGAACGACUGCGAAAGCAUUUGCCAAGAAUGUUUUCUUUAAUCAAGAGCGAAAGUCAGAGGUUCGAAGACGAUCAGAUACCGUCCUAGUUCUGACUAUAAACGAUGCCAACUAGCGAUCGGGGGGCGUUACAUUGACGACCCCUCCGGCAGCUUACGGGAAACCAAAGUCUUUGGGUUCCGGGGGAAGUAUGGUUGCAAAGCUGAAACUUAAAGGAAUUGACGGAAGGGCA